AUCCCUUGGAUUUGGUGUAUUUUUUUUAAGGGGAGAGCCCAUUUACAGUAGCUUGCUACUGGGGCUCUCGAGCAUCACUUGUGCAUUGCACUACAGUGCAAGCCUGGUGCACCCCAA
rnacentral:snRNA from 1 species